AUGACCUCUUUAACCAUGCUAGUUUUUUGGACAAUUUGAAAUGAGAGGAAUACUAGGAUCUUCCAUGAUAAAUCUGCAUUGCCCAUGAUCCUCUUGCAAGAGAUAAAGAAGGAGACAAAGCUUUGGCUCAUUGCGGGCACUAAACAUUUGAGUAUAAUGAUUUUGAGAGAGUAA
rnacentral:rRNA from 1 species